rnacentral:rRNA from 1 species
UGGGGAAUUUUGGACAAUGGGCGAAAGCCUGAUCCAGCAAUGCCGCGUGUGUGAAGAAGGCCUUCGGGUUGUAAAGCACUUUUGUCCGGAAAGAAAUCCUUGGCUCUAAUACAGUCGGGGGAUGACGGUACCGGAAGAAUAAGCACCGGCUAACUACGUGCCAGCAGCCGCGGUAAUACGUAGGGUGCAAGCGUUAAUCGGAAUUACUGGGCGUAAAGCGUGCGCAGGCGGUUUGCUAAGACCGAUGUGAAAUCCCCGGGCUCAACCUGGGAACUGCAUUGGUGACUGGCAGGCUAGAGUAUGGCAGAGGGGGGUAGAAUUCCACGUGUAGCAGUGAAAUGCGUAGAGAUGUGGAGGAAUACCGAUGGCGAAGGCAGCCCCCUGGGCCAAUACUGACGCUCAUGCACGAAAGCGUGGGGAGCAAACGAU